rnacentral:rRNA from 1 species
GAAACGGAAAUUAAUAUCCCAUAAUAUUUUUUUAUGGCAUCAUAGAAAGAUUAAAGCUCCGGCGGUUGAAGAUGGGCAUGCGUGACAUUAGCUUGUUGGUAAGGUAACGGCUUACCAAGGCUACGAUGUCUAGGGGGUCUGAGAGGAUGAUCCCCCACACUGGUACUGAGACACGGACCAGACUCCUACGGGAGGCAGCAGUGAGGAAUAUUGGGCAAUGGACGCAAGUCUGACCCAGCCAUGCCGCGUGCAGGAUGACUGCCCUAUGGGUUGUAAACUGCUUUUCUGCAGGAAGAAACUAACGCUCGUGAGCGUAACUGACGGUACUGCAGGAAUAAGCAUCGGCUAACUCCGUGCCAGCAGCCGCGGUAAUACGGAGGAUGCAAGCGUUAUCCGGAUUUAUUGGGUUUAAAGGGUGCGUAGGCGGGAGAUUAAGUCAGUGGUGAAAUCCUGCAGCUCAACUGUAGAACUGCCAUUGAUACUGGUUUCCUUGAGUGUAGUUGAAGUGGGCGGAAUGUGUAUUGUAGCGGUGAAAUGCUUAGAUAUUACACAGAACACCUAUUGCGAAGGCAGCUCACUAAACUAAUACUGACGCUGAGGCACGAAAGCGUGGGGAGCAAACAGGAUUAGAUACCCUGGUAGUCCACGCCGUAAACGUUGAUUACUCGAUGUGUGCGAUACACUGUACGCGUCUGAGCGAAAGCAUUAAGUAAUCCACCUGGGGAGUACGGUCGCAAGAUUGAAACUCAAAGGAAUUGACGGGGGCCCGCACAAGCGGAGGAACAUGUGGUUUAAUUCGAUGAUACGCGAGGAACCUUACCUGGGCUUAAAUGCAGAAUGAUUUCCACCGAAAGGCGGUUUCCCUUCGGGGCAGACUGCAAGGUGCUGCAUGGUUGUCGUCAGCUCGUGCCGUGAGGUGUCGAGUUAAGUCCCAUAACGAGCGCAACCCCUAUCGUUAGUUGCCAGCGAGUA